rnacentral:tRNA from 1 species
GCAGGUGCGCCGAAGUAGGAGAUUCGGAGCGGUCUGUAACACCGUUGCCCCACGGCUGAGCAGGUUCGAAUCCUGCCACCUGCACCA